rnacentral:piRNA from 1 species
UGAAACACAGUUUUCUCUUCUGGAUGAAC